AAUGGAAUCACCUAGGGAUCUUGUUAAAUCACAGAUUUUGAUUCAGAGGAACUGCAGUGGGGCCUGAGAGCCUGCAUAUCUAAUGAGCCCCCCCCCCCCCCCCGUGAUGCUGGG
rnacentral:pre_miRNA from 1 species